GCCAGACUCCUACGGGAGGCAGCAGUGGGGGAUAUUGCACAAUGGGGGGAACCCUGAUGCAGCGACGCCGCGUGGGUGAAGAAGCGCCUCGGCGCGUAAAGCCCUGUCAGCAGGGAAGAAAAUGACGGUACCUGAAGAAGAAGCCCCGGCUAACUACGUGCCAGCAGCCGCGGUAAUACGUAGGUGGCAAGCGUUAUCCGGAUUUACUGGGUGUAAAGGGCGUGUAGGCGGGGACGCAAGUCAGAUGUGAAAACCACGGGCUCAACCCGUGGCCUGCAUUUGAAACUGUUGGUCUUGAGUAUCGGAGAGGCAGGCGGAAUUCCUAGUGUAGCGGUGAAAUGCGUAGAUAUUAGGAGGAACACCAGUGGCGAAGGCGGCCUGCUGGACGACAACUGACGGUGAGGCGCGAAAGCGUGGGUAUCGAACAGGAUUAGAUACCCUGGUA
rnacentral:rRNA from 1 species